rnacentral:lncRNA from 1 species
GCGACCGAUGCAUUAGGUCUUUUCUCUCUCACGAUAAAAUUUUCUGUUGCUAUGCCAAUUCAGUAAGAAGGAACUUUUCUUAUCGUUUUCCUUUUUGUCACUCCGUCCUUUUCUUUGUUGCACGAAGAGUUAUGCCGUUACAAUUUGCACAUGGCAGCAAGGUGCUAGCCAAGCCGAUGAUUAGCAUAACAGCUUUUACGCUAAUCGUGAAAAGGAGGUUGCUUUUACCCCCCUCAUCUUUAUUUUGGACACACGUAGCUUUUUCCUACCACCGGGGGCCAAAAAGGAGGGAAUAUUUUCGUUGCCCAUCCACCCCUAUCAUGCACGAAAUCAUGGCAUAUGACGCUUUUGCGCGAUCCAUCUCGUCUCUCCCCCAACUAAUCAAGCUCUCUUUGAGCACCUUUCCUUUGCUUUUGCCCGUCUCUCUCAUCAUCAUCAUCAUCAUCAUCA